UCUUGUGCGUUGUUUUGCUUACCUUAGCCUUGCGCAAGACUUGAAUAUCAGGAAACAAAACUUGCUACUAUUCGCUAGACCCAAGCCUCACCCGAGGCUUGUCAUUGGUCUGAUGACUCGUCCAUGAAUUCUGCCUCUUUUCAUGUUGUUAUCCUUAUCUCAUUUAUAUCUCUUGUCCUGCAAAAAAAUGUAAGAAAACAAUUUAAAUUAAGUGGCAACUAGUCCAAUUAAUAGAUCAAAAGCGAACAAUGAAGAUUUCAUUUUUAUGCACUAUCAAGCACCUAAAGGCGCAUUAAAAACAAAAACUACGAAAUUAAAAUAAGGAAAAAAAAAUACGCCAUGAACUUACCCAAUAAGUCGAUCCCUGCUACUUGGCUCAACAAGGCUUCUGGAAGCUCCUAAUUUAUGAAGAACUUGAAGAUGCUGAAGAAAUUAACAAAGAUAAUUCUUAAAGAAAGUGAAGCUUCAAAUU
rnacentral:lncRNA from 1 species